UGUCAAAAACAAACAUGGCGGCCGUAGUUGAAUUAUUUGAAGGUGAUGGUUAAGACUGUAAUUUAACGUCAUUCCUGCCUUUCUUGUCAAUAAUAAAUCGAGCCACAUUCGAUAAUUAGCUAUCUGAAUGCAAGGUUUCGCUUCGAAGUCCGUUCGUUAUCAGUUCAACUUUCACGAUAUAUCAUCUGAUCAACACACCAAACGCCACUGCUUCGGAAUUUAUCCGCACUUCGCUACGAGUAGCAUUGUCUCCAAUGACUUCAUGAAUAACAUUUCUAGACUAAACUUCGUCCGUCAAGAGGAGGAGUCAGUUUUUUGAAUGUCUAUAAGCAAAAUCACCGAAGGAGGGCUAGAGGGCUCUUUUUCCAUCAAUGAUAUCUGGGUCGACUGGUUGUCCCCAGGGAAUCAAUCAGAUGGGCAUAGACUUACCUGAAGCAGUUAUUUUAACAUCACAGUAGUAACAUUGUUUACACUUGUCUAAGACAAAAUACCCUAUGUAUAAAUAAAACCACAUAAAGCCAA